rnacentral:rRNA from 1 species
GAUGAACGCUAGCUACAGGCUUAACACAUGCAAGUCGUGGGGCAUCAUGAUGUAGUAAUACAUUGAUGGCGACCGGCGCACGGGUGAGUAACGCGUAUCCAACCUACCCUCCACUCAAGUAUAGGCUUCCGAAAGGGAGAUUAAUCCUUGAUAUCGUCAUUCUCUCUCCUGUUAGAAUGAUAAAAGGACAUCGUUUCGGUAGAGGAUGGGGAUGCGUUCCAUUAGGUAGUAGGUGGUUUAACAGGCCACCUAGCCGAUGAUGGAUAGGGGUUCUGAGAGGAAUAUCCCCCACACUGGUACUGAGAUACGGACCAGACUCCUACGGGAGGCAGCAGUGAGGAAUAUUGGUCAAUGGGCGCAAGCCUGAACCAGCCAUGUAGCGUGAAGGAUGACGGUUUUUUUGAUUGUAAACUUCUUUUCUGUGCGAUUAAAGUGUGGCAUUUAUGCCAU